rnacentral:rRNA from 1 species
UAGUGGCGAACGGGUGAGUAACACGUGGGCAAUCUGCCCUUCACUCUGGGACAAGCCCUGGAAACGGGGUCUAAUACCGGAUACCACUCCUGCCCGCAUGGGCGGGGGUUGAAAGCUCCGGCGGUGAAGGAUGAGCCCGCGGCCUAUCAGCUUGUUGGUGGGGUAAUGGCCCACCAAGGCGACGACGGGUAGCCGGCCUGAGAGGGCGACCGGCCACACUGGGACUGAGACACGGCCCAGACUCCUACGGGAGGCAGCAGUGGGGAAUAUUGCACAAUGGGCGAAAGCCUGAUGCAGCGACGCCGCGUGAGGGAUGACGGCCUUCGGGUUGUAAACCUCUUUCAGCAGGGAAGAAGCGAAAGUGACGGUACCUGCAGAAGAAGCGCCGGCUAACUACGUGCCAGCAGCCGCGGUAAUACGUAGGGCGCAAGCGUUGUCCGGAAUUAUUGGGCGUAAAGAGCUCGUAGGCGGCUUGUCACGUCGGAUGUGAAAGCCC